rnacentral:rRNA from 1 species
UACGUAGGUGGCAAGCGUUGUCCGGAUUUACUGGGCGUAAAGAGCGCGCAGGCGGUCGUUCAAGUCGCGUGUGAAAGCCCCCGGCUCAACUGGGGAGGGUCACGCGAUACUGAUCGACUCGAAGGCAGGAGAGGGAAGUGGAAUUCCCGGUGUAGUGGUGAAAUGCGUAGAUAUUGGGAGGAACACCAGUGGCGAAGGCGGCUCACUGGACCGGAACUGACGCUGAGGCGCGAAAGCGUGGGGAGCAAACGGG